AAUCACAGGCUAUUUACAAUUGCUCUGGACAUCAACUGUAACCUCCAAUUUUUAUGCUCGGAAUUUUCUGAGGCCAAGCCUGUGUUGUGGGUGAGCAAUCAUGGAGAAAAGGCCAAUGCCACAGCGUGGCCCAGAUGGCAGAUUCUUACCACAAGGGCAGCCAGCCCCGAAGACAAGAAAACCCCCCCUGAUGAACAAAUGCAGUGUCCUGCUGAAACAUCUCAUGAGCCACAAAUACGCCUAUGUCUUUAACGAGCCAGUGGACCCUGUCAAGCUCGGUGUUCCCGACUACUUCACAGUUAUCGAAUCCCCAAUGGAUCUAGGCACCAUCAGGGCCAAGCUCAGAGCUUCUCGUUAUUCCUCUGCUGAAGAAUUUGCGGCCGACGUUAGGCUCACCUUCUCCAAUGCCCUCAAAUACAACCAUCCCGGUGACGUGGUUCAUGAAAUGGCCAAAACCCUAAGCAAACGCUUCGAGAACAGGUGGAAGGUGAUUGGGAAGAGAACCAAGCAGCGGGCUAGGGUUAGGGUUAGGGAUAGGGUUGGGGCUAGGGAUAGGGGUGCUCCCGGCGAUGGCGUCAUGCCGCAGAUGACUUACGAGAAGAUGUAUUAUAUUGUUCGGAGGUUUAUGGAAUGGCCGGGGGAUAUUCCCGAGGUGGUGGUUGAUUUUGUGAAGAGGCACGGCGCCGCGGUUAUGGACGACAGCGAUGAAUUGCAGCUAGAUUUGAAUGCUCUGAGUAAUGAUCGCAUGUGGGAAUUGCAUGGCCUUGUGAGCAGAUGUUUGGAGGACUGUGAUCUGCGCCCUCAGCCGGAAGUGCAGAAUUCUGAUGCACAGGCCGGUGAUUACAUGGAUGUAAAAAAAGAUCAGAUCCCACUGUUACUGAAGCAAUAGAUUUCUGAAGAAUUGCAGGUGCUGUCAAUGUUGAAAGCUAUUAAGCAGGACUUUAGCUUGUUUGGUAGGAGAUACAUGAAGGAACAGCUCAAAGCAGGAGGAAAAUUUUCAGGAACGGCCCAUCAGUAGAGGUUUUUGAAAACUUGGGCUACUUGAUUUGUUGAUUUAUAUUCGUAUACCUCCUAAUGUGUGUCCAGGUGGAGGAAACUUCUGAAAUUAAGGCAGCUGCUUCAAGAGAUUCUUUAUUUUAUCAAAAAAGUAUUUAGGAGCAAAUUAAUCCACUUAGUUCACACCGUAUUGAUGGUAAAUAUUGUAAAGUGUAAAUUUCUUCCAACAAAGCAAUCUGUAUGUGUAAUGAGAGGGUAAGAGAUAUUCUAUGGCUAGUGAAGUAUGACAUUUCUGUUAAGGGCCUGGUGUUCAAUGUGUUGAUAGACAGUUCUUGUCUUUAACACUUCUUUAUCUGUAUUUAUUCUCUUUUCUCGAACUCAGAAAUUUAUCAAGUCCAUUUGAUA